rnacentral:rRNA from 1 species
AUUGAACGCUGGCGGCAGGCCUAACACAUGCAAGUCGAGCGGUAGAGAGGUGCUUGCACCUCCUGAGAGCGGCGGACGGGUGAGUAAUGCCUAGGAAUCUGCCUGGUAGUGGGGGAUAACGCUCGGAAACGGACGCUAAUACCGCAUACGUCCUACGGGAGAAAGCAGGGGACCUUCGGGCCUUGCACUAUCAGAUGAGC